UUGAACGCUGGCGGCAGGCCUAACACCUGCAAGUCGCGCGGAUGAAGGGAGCUUGCUCCUGGAUUCAGCGGCGGACGGGUGAGUAAUGCCUAGGAAUCUGCCUGGUAGUGGGGGAUAACGCCCGGAAACGGGCGCUAAUACCGCAUACGUCCUGAGGGAGAAAGUGGGGGAUCUUCGGACCUCACGCUAUCAGAUGAGCCUAGGUCGGAUUAGCUAGUUGGUGGGGUAAAGGCCUACCAAGGCGACGAUCCGUAACUGGUCUGAGAGGAUGAUCAGUCACACUGGAACUGAGACACGGUCCAGACUCCUACGGGAGGCAGCAGUGGGGAAUAUUGGACAAUGGGCGAAAGCCUGAUCCAGCCAUGCCGCGUGUGUGAAGAAGGUCUUCGGAUUGUAAAGCACUUUAAGUUGGGAGGAAGGGCAGUAAGUUAAUACCUUGCUGUUUUGACGUUACCAACAGAAUAAGCACCGGCUAACUUCGUG
rnacentral:rRNA from 1 species